AGACACCAUGGUAAAGGCACAGGUCAGAGUAAAUGCCAUGUCGGGCGCCUGGUCACCAGGGCUGCUUUUAACUCUGGCAAAGUGAUUAUUGUCACCAUCAAUGACCCCUUCAUUGACCUCAACUACAUGGUGUACAUGUUCCAAUAUGACUCCACCCAUGGCAAGUUCCAUGGCACUGUCAAGGCUGAAAACAGGAAGCUUGUCAUCAAUGGAAGUCCUAUUACCAUCUUCCAGGAGCGUUGUCCUAGCAAAAUCAAAUGGGGUGACGCCAGGACUGAUUAUAUAGUGGAGUCCACCGUUAUCUUCACUACCUUAGAGAAGGCUGGGGUUCGCUUGCAGGGGGGAGCCAAAAGGGUCAUCAUCUCUGCCCCCUCCGCCGACACCCCCAUGUUUGCGAUGGGCGUGAGCCAUGAGAAGUACCAGAACAACCUCACGAUUGUCAGCAACGCCUCUUGUGCCACAAACAGCGUAGUUCCCCUGGCCAAGGUCAUCCACAACAACUUGGGCAUCGUGGAGGGACUCAUGACCACCCUCCAUACCAUCACUGCCACCCAGAAGACUGUGGAUGACCCUUCUGGGAAGCUAUGGCACAAUGACCGCAGGGUCCUCUAGAAUAUCAUCCCUUCAUCCACUGGGGCUGCCAAGGCCCUGGGCAAGGUCAUCCCUGAGUUGAACGGGAAGUUCACGGGCAUGGCCUCCCAUGUCCCCACCACCAAUGUGUCCGUUAUGAACCUGACCUGCUGCCUGGAGAAACCCACCCGAUAUGAUGACAUCAAGAAGGUAGUGAAGCAGGCAUCUGAGGGCCCCCUCAAGGGCAUCCUGGGCGUCACUGAGCACCAGGUUGUGUCCUCUAACUUUAACAGCAACACCCACUCUUCCACCUUUGAUGCUGGGACUGGCAUUGCCCUCAACGACCACUUUGUCAAACUCAUCUCUUGGUAUGACAUUGAAUUUGGCUACAGCAACAGGAUGGUCAACCUCAUGGCUCACAUGGCCUCCAAGGAGUAAGAGCCUGUGGACCACCAGCCCCAGCAAGAUCACGAGAGGAAGAGAGAAGCCCUCAGCUGCUAGGGAGUCCCCGACCACACUGAGAACUUCUCCUCCUC